GCGAGGUAGUGGGAGAGAAUGGCAGUGGAUCUACGCACAAUGGAAGCAGGACGGGGAUGGGGAAGAUACAAAGCUCCCCAAAAUCCCAACUUUGGUACUAUGCAAAAAGAAGAUGUUCCCCAUCACAUCAAACUUGCGGUACAUGUAUGGAGUACUGAAUGUAGACAAAAUUAAAAACUAAUUGUACAGUUUUGUUGUACUUUGCGAACGAAUCUUUUAAGCCUAAUUGGUCAAUAUUUGGAUAA
rnacentral:lncRNA from 1 species